AUUUAUUCUCCCUAAUAUGGAAAAGAACUGUUCGAGGGCCACAUAUGCCUCAAGGGAGACUCUAUGGUAUACUUUGUUCAAGAGGAGGAUUGUUGAGGAUUGUUGGGAGGGAGUCUCACAUUGGCUAGUUAAGGGGAUAA